rnacentral:rRNA from 1 species
AACGCUGGCGGCGUGGAUAAGACAUGCAAGUCGAGCGGGAUCUGGUCGAUAGCAAUAUCAAUCGGAUUCAGCGGCGAAAGGGUGAGUAACACGUGAGUAACCUGCCUCCAAGUGGGAGAUAACUCCGAGAAAUCGGAGCUAAUACCGCAUGUGAAGUCAGAUCAAAUGAUCUGACCAUCAAAGCUGGGGACCUCUAAGGCCUGGCGCUUGGAGAUGGGCUCGCGGCCUAUCAGCUAGUUGGUGAGGUAAUGGCUCACCAAGGCGAAGACGGGUAGCUGGUCUGAGAGGACGACCAGCCACACUGGAACUGAGACACGGUCCAGACACCUACGGGUGGCAGCAGUCGAGAAUUUUUCACAAUGGGCGAAAGCCUGAUGGAGCGACGCCGCGUGGGGGAUGAAGGGCUUCGGCCUGUAAACCCCUGUCAUCUGUGAACAAUGCUGUCGGGCGAACAACUCGGCAGUUGAUAGUAGCAGAAGAGGAAGGGACGGCUAACUCUGUGCCAGCAGCCGCGGUAGUACAGAGGUCCCAAGCGUUGUUCGGAUUCACUGGGCGUAAAGGGUGCGUAGGCGGUCGUGAAAGUCUGGUGUGAAAGCUUCGAGCUCAACUCGGAAACGGCAUUGGAAACUACACGGCUAGAGGGUUGGAUGGGGGACUGGAAUUCUCGGUGUAGCAGUGAAAUGCGUAGAUAUCGAGAGGAACACCGGUGGCGAAGGCGAGUCCCUGGACAACUCCUGACGCUGAGGCACGAAAGCUGGGGGAGCAAACAGGAUUAGAUACCCUGGUAGUCCCAGCCCUAA